UACGUAGGGGGCGAGCGUUGUCCGGAUUCAUUGGGCGUAAAGAGCUCGUAGGCGGCUUGGUAAGUCGGGUGUGAAACCUCCAGGCUCAACCUGGAGACGCCACUCGAGACUGCCCUGGCUGGAGUCCGGUAGGGGACCACGGAAUUCCUGGUGUAGCGGUGAAAUGCGCAGAUAUCAGGAGGAACACCAGUGGCGAAGGCGGUGGUCUGGGCCGGUACUGACGCUGAGGAGCGAAAGCGUGGGGAGCGAACAGG
rnacentral:rRNA from 1 species